GGAAACCUCACCCGGCCCGGACACCGUUAGGAUUGACAGAUUGAGAGCUCUUUCUUGAUUCGGUGGGUGGUGGUGCAUGGCCGUUCUUAGUUGGUGGAGCGAUUUGUCUGGUUAAUUCCGAUAACGAACGAGACUCUAGCCUACUAAUAGUUCGAGGAUAUACUAUUUAACCUCGCAAACUUCUUAGAGGGACAGGUGGCGUUUAGCCACACGAGAUUGA
rnacentral:rRNA from 1 species